AAUAAAAAAAUUUUACAUUUAAGGACCGGUAUUAUUGUAGGGGAUUUGUGACUUUCAAGGCAACGUCCUCUCUACAACCGAGUUCGAGAACAAAUACCUAUGGCUCUUUUUGUUAUUCGGAAGCUUACAAGUUGUGGUAUAUUUAUAUGCUCUCUUUCCACUUUCAAGUACUUCACACGGGCCUAACAUAU
rnacentral:snoRNA from 1 species